rnacentral:rRNA from 1 species
GGAGAGGGCUAGCGUUAUUCGGAAUUAUUGGGCGUAAAGGGCGCGUAGGCGGAUUAGUAAGUUAAAGGUGAAAUCCCAAGGCUCAACCUUGGAAUUGCUUUUAAAACUGCUAAUCUAGAGAUUGAAAGAGGAUAGAGGAAUUCCUAGUGUAGAGGUGAAAUUCGUAAAUAUUAGGAGGAACACCAGUGGCGAAGGCGUCUAUCUGGUUCAAAUCUGACGCUGAGGCGCGAAGGCGUGGGGAGCAAACAGGAUUAGAUACCCUGGUAGUCCACGCUGUAAACGAUGAAUGUUAAAUAUGGGGAGUUUACUUUCUGUAUUACAGCUAACGCGUUAAACAUUCCGCCUGGGGACUACGGUCGCAAGAUUAAAACUCAAAGGAAUUGACGGGGACCCGCACAAGCGGUGGAGCAUGUGGUUUAAUUCGAUGCAACGCGAAAAACCUUACCACUCCUUGACAUGGAAAUUAUACCUAUUCGAAGGGAUAGGGUCGGUUCGGCCGGGUUUCACACAGGUGU